GCUGCGGGAGCGCGCAGGAGGCCUGGAAAUCUGCGAGGGUCCCCUGGAGGCGAAGCCUCUGCUAGGCCCUGCUCGGGGCGGCAGAGUCCACCCACCACGCCCAAGAGAACCCAGGCGCACGUCGGCACCACGGCGCCCAAACCAUGCCGGUAUCUGACCAGGCGUUCGUGACGCUGGCCACCAACGACAUCUACUGCCAGGGCGCGCUGGUUCUGGGACAGUCACUGAGGAACCAGCGUGCGACCAGGAAGCUGGUGGUGCUUAUCACCCCACAGGUGUCCAGCCUGCUCAGGUAAGUCGGGAAGAUGCUCCCGUGCCUGGCUGAUUCCUGCGUCUCUAGGACCUGUGCCUGUGGAGGUCCCGGGAACCGUCGGUGUGUCUGGAGCUCCCGCUGACUCGGGGGGCAUCUGACGGUGGUACGCUCGAUUCGUUAUCAAAGGAAGUGAGUCUCGGUAGAGGAAGUGAGAGGUUUAAGGUUGGAGGUUGUAGCAAGUCACAUGUGGUUCUGCAAAAUCCUGCAAUGUGCAGCAUAGAUUUUUACAUCCUGGUACGUCCCCAUCGCCUUGUAGGAUGUUUCCCAGGGAAGAUGAGUAGAGGUACCUCCAGGGGGCCUUGCCGUGUGCAUGGCUCUUCUGUUGUGGUGGUGAGUGCAUGUCUAGGGGCGAAGGAUUGCUCUGAGUUUCU